GACGAACGCUGGCGGCGUGCCUAACACAUGCAAGUCGAACGGAAAGGCCCUGCUUUUGUGGGGUGCUCGAGUGGCGAACGGGUGAGUAACACGUGAGUAACCUGCCCUUGACUUUGGGAUAACUUCAGGAAACUGGGGCUAAUACCGGAUAGGAGCUCCUGCUGCAUGGUGGGGGUUGGAAAGUUUCGGCGGUUGGGGAUGGACUCGCGGCUUAUCAGCUUGUUGGUGGGGUAGUGGCUUACCAAGGCUUUGACGGGUAGCCGGCCUGAGAGGGUGACCGGCCACAUUGGGACUGAGAUACGGCCCAGACUCCUACGGGAGGCAGCAGUGGGGAAUAUUGCACAAUGGGCCGAAGCCUGAUGCAGCAACGCCGCGUGCGGGAUGACGGCCUUCGGGUUGUAAACCGCUUUCGCCUGUGACGAAGCGUGAGUGACGGUACUGGGUAAAGAAGCACCGGCUAACUACGUG
rnacentral:rRNA from 1 species